AUGGCGCCGUGGUGGGGGCAGGAGGCGCGGGGAGGGGUGUCCGGCGGCGUCACGGGGACGCCCGUGGUGGUCAAGAUGCAGACCCCGGACUGGGCCAUCUCCGAGGUGCCGCCGCCGGGCUCGCCCGCCGCGGGGGGCAAGGACGGCCGCGGCAAGAACGCGCGCCAGAUCACCUGGGUGCUGCUCCUCAAGGCGCACCGAGCCGCGGGGAAGCUCACGGGCGCCGCCACCGCCGCGCUCUCCGUGGCCGCGGCUGCGCGGAGGCGGGUGGCGGCUGGCCGGACCGACUCCGACGCCGACAACGCGCCGCCGGGGCCGGGGGGCAGCCCCGCGCUGCGCACCAGGCUCUACGGCUUCAUCCGCGCCUCCCUCCUCCUCUCCAUGCUCCUCCUCGCCGCCGACGUCGCCGCGCACGCCCAGGGCUGGCACCUCGCCGCGCUCCCCGACCUGGAGGCCGUCGAGGGCCUCUUCGCCGCCGCCUACGCGGCCUGGAUGCGCGCCCGCGCCGCCUACCUCGGCCCGGCCCUGCAGUUCCUCACCAACGCCUGCGUCGUGCUCUUCAUGAUCCAGAGCGCCGACCGCCUCAUCCUCUGCCUCGGCUGCUUCUGGAUCAAGCUCAGGGGGAUCAGGCCCGUGCCCAACGCCGCCGCCGGCAAAGGCUCGGACGACGUCGAGGCCGGCGCCCAGGAGGAGGGGGAGUUCCCCAUGGUGCUCGUCCAGAUUCCAAUGUGCAACGAGAAGGAGGUGUAUCAGCAAUCCAUUGGAGCUGUCUGCAAUCUGGACUGGCCGAGAUCGAAUUUCUUGGUGCAGGUGCUCGAUGAUUCUGACGAUGCUGCGACUUCAGCUCUUAUCAGAGAGGAGGUUGAGAAAUGGCAACGGGAGGGUGUCCGGAUAUUGUACCGGCACCGGGUGAUUCGUGAUGGCUACAAGGCUGGAAAUCUCAAGUCUGCCAUGAACUGCAGCUACGUGAAAGAUUAUGAGUUUGUUGUUAUCUUUGAUGCCGAUUUCCAACCACAAGAAGACUUCCUGAAGCUAACUGUGCCCCAUUUCAAGGGCAAAGAGGAUGUUGGACUAGUUCAGGCAAGGUGGUCUUUUGUAAACAAGGAUGAGAACUUGUUAACUAGGCUGCAAAACAUAAAUCUGUGCUUCCACUUUGAGGUGGAACAGCAGGUUAAUGGGGCAUUCCUCAAUUUUUUCGGGUUCAACGGAACCGCGGGAGUGUGGAGAAUUAAGGCACUCGAGGACUCUGGAGGAUGGAUGGAGAGAACGACAGUUGAAGACAUGGAUAUUGCUGUUCGAGCACAUCUAAAGGGAUGGAAGUUUCUGUAUCUUAAUGAUGUUGAGUGCCAGUGUGAAUUGCCGGAGUCAUAUGAAGCAUACAGAAAACAGCAACAUCGAUGGCAUUCUGGUCCUAUGCAGUUGUUUAGACUCUGCUUUGUGGACAUUAUCAAAUCAAAGAUUGGGUUCUGGAAGAAAUUCAACCUGAUAUUCCUUUUCUUUCUCCUCCGAAAACUGAUCCUGCCCUUCUAUUCAUUCACCCUCUUCUGCGUCAUACUUCCAAUGACAAUGUUUGCUCCUGAAGCAGAGCUACCUGCCUGGGUGGUGUGCUACAUUCCAGCAACCAUGUCCUUGCUCAACAUCCUCCCGGCCCCAAAGUCCUUCCCAUUCAUCGUCCCCUACCUUCUGUUUGAGAACACCAUGUCGGUGACCAAGUUCAACGCCAUGAUCUCCGGCCUGUUCCAGCUCGGGAGCGCCUACGAGUGGGUUGUGACAAAGAAAUCAGGCCGGUCUUCGGAGGGCGAUCUCGUCGCCCUCGUCGAGAACGAGAAGCAAUCCAGGCAGCUGAGAGUAGGGUCCGCGCCCAACCUCGACUCCCUGGCAGCAAAGGAGGAAUUGUACCCGAAAGCGGAACCCAAACCCAAAAAGAAGAAACACAAUAGGUUAUACCGGAAGGAACUGGCACUCUCCUUCCUCCUCUUGACAGCAGCAGCUCGCAGCCUGCUCUCGGUUCAGGGCAUACAUUUCUACUUCCUUCUGUUCCAGGGGGUCUCAUUCUUGGUCGUCGGGCUCGACCUCAUCGGCGAGCAGGUCGAGUGA
rnacentral:rRNA from 1 species